UACGAAGGGGCUAGCGUUGCUCGGAAUCACUGGGCGUAAAGGGCGCGUAGGCGGCGUUGAUAAGCGUGCGGUGAAAGCCCGGGGCUCAACCCGGGUCGGCCGUUGCGAACUGUCGAGCUGGAGCACUGUAGAGGCAGGGUGGAAUUCCGGGUGUAGCGGUGGAAUGACGUAGAGAUCCGGAAGAACACCGGUGGCGAAGGCGGCCCUGGCCUGGCAGUGGCUGACGCUGAGGCG
rnacentral:rRNA from 1 species